UUCAAAGAGCACCCAGAGCAGAUGCAAAGGGAAGAAGAGACCACAGAAUGGGGUGUGUGAGGAGUUAAAUAUGCAAGGGAUGGAUGACUACAGGUUUUGCAUGCCAAGCUAAACAGUUGGACUUUAUUUUGGAAGCAGCAGGAGUCACUGAAAGACACCUGAGCUCAGAAGCCACCAUAUUGGGUUAGUUUUCAGUAACUACUGCUCUGGCUGAGAUGAGGAAAACGACUUGCCUUGCCUAGAGGAGGAGGAAUGUGGAAGAAGGAGAUCCUAAGAGGGUGUUUCAGUGCACAGAUACUCCUCGCACAAGAAGGUUUGUAGAAAUAUAGAACUUUUAACAACGGAUAACUAUGAGAAGGCCCAACCCAGAAGUUUCCUGUAGAUUAAGAGAAAAGAAAAACAAAAAUAUAGGCAAUCUUGGAGGCCCAAGAUUUGCCCAGUAAUAAACAAUUUUUCUGGAAAACUGGAAACAAGGUUUAUUUCACCUCAGUCAGGCUGUUAGCCAGUAUUUUUGUUGGACUCAAGUUCUUAAAGAUUCAAAUGUUUCCUAUUCUCAACCUCUGGCUUACAGAUAAAUACUUAACGGUUUUUAUCUGGGGGCUGGCCCUACUUGAUAAGGACUUAUAAAACUGUACUAAAAAAUAUGUUUAAACAAAUCUUUCCCGUGACAGUAGCAGUCUUUUCCUCCAUGAGGAAAUCUGGCUCUUAGAGCUGAUCUGCAGGAAUUCGCUGCCAAAUAAGAGAUCUGCGGGCUGUGGGUUUGCCCAGGACGCUAACGGUGCUAACUGCUGUACACCCUUAGGAGCACCUUUCAGACCCCAGGGCAUCGAACAAGGCACAAUUUCAUCUUCCAUUUCAUUCCACUGCCAUUUCAUAAUUUAGAAAUUAAGGAACAAAAAAGUUAAAUAGCUUGCUCAGGGCAUAAAGUAAGUCCAAGUCAAGGUUUAAGCUUUUAAACUGAAGCCUGUCCGGCUGCACACCCCUUUUCCUCAGAGAUGGGCUCUCACUGGUGGCUUGGUAAGGCAGCUAUUUUUUUCAUUGCGUUUUUAAAGGGGAUAUUGUUUUUGUUUGUUUUUUGAGACAGAGUCUCGCUCUGUCACCCAGGCUGGGGUACAGUGGCGUGAUCUUAGCUCACUGCACCCUCCACCUCCCAGGUUCAAGUGAUUCUCCUGCCUCAGCCUCCCGAGUAGCUGGGACUACAGGAAUGACUACGCCCGACUAAUUUUUGUAUUUUUAGUAGAGAUGGGGUUUCACUAUGUUGGCCAGGCUGGUCUCAAACUCCUGAUCUCAAGUGAUCACCCACCUCAGCCUCUCAAAGUGCUGGGAUUACAGGCAUGAGCCACCACACCCGGCCUGUUUUCAUCAUUGUUUUUAAUGCAACUUUUAGGAUGCUUCUGAUUUUCCUAAUUUUAUUGAGGAAUAAUUAAUAGAAAUUAUACGUAUUCAAAGUAUACAAUGUGAUUAUUUGAUAUAAAUAUAGAUUGCAUAUUGAUUCCCAUAAUCAAAUUAAUCAACACAUCUGUCAUCACACAUAGUUACCCUCUGCAUGGAGAGGGAAAAGACUAAGGACGCUCCCUAAUCUCCAGAACAUAUUCAUCUUAUAAAUGAAAGCUUGUACCCUUUGACCAGCAUCUCACCGUUUCUCCCAUGCCCCAGACCCUGACAAUCACCAUUCUACUCUUGGCUUGUGGAUUCAACGUUUUUAUAUUCUACAUAUAACUGAGAUCAUACAGUAUUUGUUUUUCUGUGUCUGGAUUAUUCCACUUAGCAUAAUGUCCUCCAGGUUCAUCCAUGUUGUUGCAAAUGGCAGGCUUUCCUUAUUUUUAUGGCUAAAUAUUAUUCUAUCCUGUAUAUAUAUACCACAUUUUCUUUAACCAUUCCUAAGAUAAAUGGCACUUGGGUUGUUUCCAUAUCUUUGCUAUUGUGAGUAAUGCUGAAAUAAAUAUGGAAGUGAAGAUAUCUCUUUGACAUACUAAUUUGAUGUCUUUUAAACAUAUAUCCACAAGUGGGACUGCUGGAUCAUAUAGUUGAUUUUUACAAAACUUCCAUACCAAUGUCCAUAAUGGCUGUACCAAUUUUCACCCUAAUAGCGUACAAGGGUUCCCUUUCCUCCAUAUCCUUGUCAAAACUUGUUAUAUUUUGUCUUUUUGAUAACAGGCAUCCUAACAAAUGUGAGAUAAUAUCUCAUUGUGGUUUUGAUUUGCAUUUCUCUAAUGAUUAGUGAUGUCAAGCACCAUUUUUCUUUUUUUUUUCUUUUUCUUUUUUUUUUUUGAGACACAAUCUCACUCUGUUGCCCAGGCUGGAGGGCAGUGGCAUGAUCUUGGCUCAAUGCAGUCUCGACCUCUUCGGGUUCAGGUGAUCCUCCUGCCUCAGCCUCCUCACCUCAGUCUAAUGGGUAACUGAGACUAUAGGUGCAUGCCACCACGCCUAGCUAAUUUUUGUAUUUCUUGUAGAGACAGGGGUUCACCAUGUUGUCCAGGUUGGUCUGGAACUCCUGGACUCAAGCAAUCCACCUGCCUCGGCUUCCCAAAAUGGUGAGAUUACAGGCAUGAGCCACCGUACCUGGCAAGCAUCUUUUCAUUUACCUGUUGGCUAUUUGUGUGUCUUCUUUGGAAAAGUGUCUAUUAAGGUCCUUUGCCCCACCUCCACUUUUUUUUUUAUUUUAGUAUUGAGUUGUACGAGUUUCUCGUAUAUUAUGGACAUUGACCUUUUACCAGAUAUAUGGUUUGUAGACAUUCUCUCCCAGCCUGUAUGUUACCUUUUCAUUUUGUUGGUUGUUUCCUUUGCCGUGCAGAAGCUUUUUGGCUUGAUGUAGUCCCACUUGUAUGUUUUUGCUUUUGUUGCCUGUGCUUUGAGGUAACAGCAACAAAAUCAUUGCCAAGGCCAAUGUCAAGAAGCUUUUUUCCCCUGUGUUUUCUUCUAGAAAUUAUAUGGUUUCAGGCCUUACCAUUAAGUCUUUCUUUUCUUUUUUUUUGAGAUGGAGUCUCGGUCUGUCACCCAGGCUGGAGUGCAAUGGCAUGAUCUCAGCUCACUGCAACCUCCGCCUCCCAGGUUCAAGCCAUUCUCCUGCCUCAGCCUCCCGAUUAGCUGGGAUUACAGGUGCUGCCACCACGCCUGGCUCAUUUUUUGUAUUUUUAGUAAAGAUGGGGUUUCACUAUGUUGGCCAGGCUGGUCUCAAACUCCUGACCUUGUGAUCCGCCAGCCUCAGCCUCCCAAAGUGCUGGGAUUACAGGCAUGAGCCACUGCACCCGGCCUCUUACAGUUAAGUCUUAAUCCAUUUCAAGUUGAUUUUUGUAUAUGGUGUUAAGGGUCCAAUUUUAUUUUUUGGCAGGUGGAUAUCCAGUUUUCCCAACAGUAUUCUUCGAAGAGACUGUCCUUUCCCCCAUUGCGUAUUCUUGGCACCCUUGUCAGGAUGCUUCUAUGCAAUCCUCCAGGUACGUACUAGAUCCAUCUGACAUUUAGGUCAUUAUGCAUUUAUCAUUUACUCCCACUGGAUUUUAAGCUUCUUUCCAGGGCAGUGACCAUGACUUAUUUAUCCUGUAGCAGUCUUUCACCACACCUAGAGCAGUGCCCCAACACACAGCGCUUAAGAAGAGCAUGAAGUGACAAUAUACACAGAUUAUUAACUUCUUUGUGCUCCAAGGGAAGUCUUUUAUGGAUACUAAAAGUAGAAGUCAUUAGUUCCAAAUAAAUUUAAACAGGUUUCAGGUAUUCUUCUACUGACCGAAAUUAGACCAUUCCUUGUCCCCCUUUUCCUUCCAUCCCUUAUAAAUUCCCAUGACACAACAAACGAACAAAAGCUCUAAAAGUAGACUGUUGUAUGAAAAAGACCCUGAACCUAUCAGUUUAAAGAAAACCUGGAAAAAUUUUUAAUGAAAACCAAACUUAGUAUCUUUUCUUCUCCUCUUCCCUCCUUCCUUCCCAAGAGGCUUCGGCAGCACCAGGGCUCCCCAGAACAAACCAAAGCCCUUUGGUGGAGCAUUUGGAUUUCAUCUCCCAUCUGGACUGUACCCCUUCCACCGGCGAGGGCAAAGUUCACAUGUGAAGUCUACAGAGUAAGAUGCCAUGAUGGGUAAUGUGGGGAUUCAGGAACAAGCGAGUGAGUAAGCAGGGCUGGAAACUGAGAUUUGAGCUGCGUUUGUGGUAGGCUCUGCUUACGAGAUGGGAGGGCAACCCAUGCUCUUGCUGAGAGCGAAGGAAAGAGGAACUCACCACUGGCUGGAGGAAUGUCCACUCGUCAUGGGAAGGCAGAAAUGGAUUAUCAAGUUUCAGACUUAGAAAACAAAGAAAAACUCUAAUUGCGGACAUUCCUUGCAGUUUAAGAUCAGGGUAAAUAUACCAAUACAAAAUUACUGGGGUCAAAGGCUUUUGUAUGUGUGGUUUUUUCCCGCAGUAAUGGGUCACUUGAUCAGAAAUCCCUGUGUGAACUCACUUUUUUUUGGUAAUGAUGACAUGAGAAUUUCCACACUUGCCAAGUCAGUAUUACGUGGAACUGAAACCAGACUCAGUGCAUAUGAAGACUUUGCUCACACUUGUUUUUACUACAGUCAGCAAUGCUUCAUAAGGCCAAAUUUAAUGAUGUAAUUUUGGCAGAGCUAAUAUAAAUAGCUCAAAAUUAUUAAUUUACUUUUGGUUGCAAUUAUUAACCAAUAUGUAUGUUAUGUGAUAGCUAUCAGUUUUCUAUUUACCUUUAUUAGGUGAGGCCCCAAAGAAAAAUUUUUAGCUAAAUAUAUUAGGUUCUCCAAAGGGUCAGGAAAGGAGCCUGAAAACAGAGAAGAGACUGAAUUGAAUAGCUUAGAUUUCUAGUACUGGGCAUUCUGAAAGCGUUUUGGCAAUUUAUCCCCUAAAAAAGAAUUUAGAUCAGAUGGGAGAUAAUAAAUUAGAGAAUUUGAUUCAAGAGGCUUAACUCUGGUUAAUCAAAUGAUGACUAAUUUCCAAUCUGGAAUUUGAUCAAUUAGUAAACUGGUACCCCAAAAUUGGUUAAGAGUAAAAUUGUUAAGAGGGCUGUAGUCAUUUUUAAAAGAGAUGUUAUUUCUUAUUCCCAAUCAAAUCUUAUAUUGCUGAAUUCUAUUAUGCUCCAAUAUUAAAUUUUUAAAAGUUGGCUUUUUAAAAAUUGGUUUUUAAAAUUGGUUUUUGAAAAUUUAAAAAGUUGGUUUUUAAAAAUUUUUUUAAUUUUUAAAAGUUGGCUCACGCCUGUAAUCCCAGCACUCUGGGAAGCCAAGGCAGCUGGAUCAUGAGGUCAGGCAUUUGAGACCAGCCUGGCCAACAUAGUGAAACCCCAUCUCUACUAAAAAAAUACCAAAAAAUUAGCCGGGUGUGGUGGCAGGCGCCCGUAAUCCCAGCUACUCAGGAGGCAGAGGCAGGAGAAUCGCUUGAACCUGGGAGGUGUAGGUUGCCGUGAGCCGAAAUCACGCCAUUCAUUGUUCUCCAGCCCGGGUGACAGUGCGAG
rnacentral:lncRNA from 10 species